ACUACAUGUACAGGAUAGGUGGGAGGCUUUGAAACCAGGACGCCAGUUUUGGCGGAGCCAUCCUUGGGAUACCACCCUUGUAGUACUGGGACUCUAACCAUAGGCCAUGAAUCUGGUCUUGGGACACUGUCAGGUGGGCAGUUUGACUGGGGCGGUCGCCUCCCAAAAGGUAACGGAGGCGCUCAAAGGUUCUCUCAGUACGGUCGGAAAUCGUACGGAGGGUGUAAAGGCAAAAGAGAGCUUGAUUGCAAGACAUACAGGUCGAGCAAGGAUGAAAAUCGGACUUAGUGAUCCGGUGGUUCUGCGUGGAAGGGCCAUCGCUCAACGGAUAAAAGCUACCCUGGGGAUAACAGGCUUAUCUCCCCCAAGAGUCCACA
rnacentral:rRNA from 1 species